rnacentral:tRNA from 1 species
CAGAAAAUAGUAUAAUAAAUAUAUAAAUUUUGGGGAUUUAAGUUGGUAAUUCUUUUCUGA